rnacentral:rRNA from 1 species
UACGUAGGGGGCAAGCGUUGUCCGGAAUUAUUGGGCGUAAAGCGUCCGCAGGUGGCACCUCAAGUCUGCUGUCAAAGACCGGGGCUUAACCCCAGAAAGGCAGUGGAAACUGAAGUGCUAGAGUGCAGUAGGGGUAGAGGGAAUUCCCGGUGUAGCGGUGAAAUGCGUAGAGAUCGGGAAGAACAUCGGUGGCGAAGGCGCUCUGCUAGGCCGCAACUGACACUGAGGGACGAAAGCUAGGGGAGCGAAUGGG